rnacentral:rRNA from 1 species
UCUUGGUCAUUUAGAGGAAGUAAAAGUCGUAACAAGGUCUCCGUUGGUGAACCAGCGGAGGGAUCAUUACCGAGUUAUUCAACUCCCAAACCCCCUGUGAACCUUACCACACACGUUGCCUCGGCGGGACCGCCCCGGCGCCCUCGCGGCCCGGACCAAGGCGCCCGCCGGAGGACCACCAGACUCUCCUGUCGCAGUGGCAUUUCUCUCCGAGUCAAACAAGCAAAAUGAAUCAAAACUUUCAACAACGGAUCUCUUGGUUCUGGCAUCGAUGAAGAACGCAGCGAAAUGCGAUAAGUAAUGUGAAUUGCAGAAUUCAGUGAAUCAUCGAAUCUUUGAACGCACAUUGCGCCCGCCAGUACUCUGGCGGGCAUGCCUGUCCGAGCGUCAUUUCAACCCUCGAGCCCGUCUCGGUGUUGGGGGCCCCACGGCCGCGAGGCCGCCCCCGAAAUGCAUUGGCGACCCCGCCGCGGCCUCCCCUGCGCAGUAGCUCCCAGAGAACCUCGCACCGGAAACGCGGAGGCGGUCACGCCGUAAAACAACUCUCCUCCUGGAGGUUGACCUCGGAUCAGGUAGGGAUACCCGCUGAACUUAAGCAUAUCAAUAAGCGGAGGAAAAGAAACCAACAGGGAUUGCCCCAGUAACGGCGAGUGAAGCGGCAACAGCUCAAAUUUGAAAUCUGGCCCCCCCCGCGGGGCCCGAGUUGUAAUUUGCAGAGGAUGCUUUUGGCGCGGCGCCUUCCGAGUUCCCUGGAACGGGACGCCAUAGAGGGUGAGAGCCCCGUCUGGUCGGACGCCCAGCCUCUGUAAAGCUCCUUCGACGAGUCGAGUAGUUUGGGAAUGCUGCUCUAAAUGGGAGGUAUAUGUCUUCUAAAGCUAAAUACUGGCCAGAGACCGAUAGCGCACAAGUAGAGUGAUCGAAAGAUGAAAAGCACUUUGAAAAGAGGGUUAAACAGUACGUGAAAUUGUUGAAAGGGAAGCGCUUGUGACCAGACAUGGGCGCGGCGAAUCAUCCGGCGUUCUCGCCGGUGCACUUCGCCGCGCCCGGGCCAGCAUCAGUUCGCGGCGGGGGACAAAGGCGCCGGGAACGUGGCUCCCCCGGGAGUGUUAUAGCCCGGCGCGCAAUGCCCCGCGGCGGACUGAGGUUCGCGCAUCCGCAAGGAUGCUGGCGUAAUGGUCACCAGUGACCCGUCUUGAAACACGGACCAAGGAGUCGUCCUCGUAUGCGAGUGUUCGGGUGUCAAACCCCUACGCGCAAUGAAAGUGAACGCAGGUGAGAGCCUCACGGCGCAUCAUCGACCGAUCCUGAUGUUCUCGGAUGGAUUUGAGUAAGAGCAUACGGGGCCGGACCCGAAAGAAGGUGAACUAUGCCUGUGUAGGGUGAAGCCAGAGGAAACUCUGGUGGAGGCUCGCAGCGGUUCUGACGUGCAAAUCGAUCGUCAAACAUGGGCAUGGGGGCGAAAGACUAAUCGAACCUUCUAGUAGCUGGUUUCCGCCGAAGUUUCCCUCAGGAUAGCAGUGUCGAUCUCAGUUUUAUGAGGUAAAGCGAAUGAUUAGGGACCCGGGGGCGCUCUUUAGCCUUCAUCCAUUCUCAAACUUUAAAUAUGUAAGAAGCCCUUGUUGCUUAGUUGAACGUGGGCAUUCGAAUGUAUCGACACUAGUGGGCCAUUUUUGGUAAGCAGAACUGGCGAUGCGGGAUGAACCGAACGCGAGGUUAAGGUGCCGGAGUGGACGCUCAUCAGACACCACAAAAGGCGUUAGUACAUCUUGACAGCAGGACGGUGGCCAUGGAAGUCGGAAUCCGCUAAGGACUGUGUAACAACUCACCUGCCGAAUGUACUAGCCCUGAAAAUGGAUGGCGCUCAAGCGUCCCACCCAUACCUCGCCCUCGGGGUAGAAACGAUGCCCCGAGGAGUAGGCGGACGUGGGGGUCUGUGACGAAGCCUA